UGGGGAAUCUUGGACAAUGGGGGCAACCCUGAUCCAGCCAUGCCGCGUGAGUGAUGAAGGCCUUAGGGUCGUAAAGCUCUUUCGCCUGUGAAGAUAAUGACGGUAGCAGGUAAAGAAACCCCGGCUAACUCCGUGCCAGCAGCCGCGGUAAUACGGAGGGGACAAGCGUUAUUCGGAUUUAUUGGGCGUAAAGGGCGCGUAGGCGGCUUGAUAAGUCAAAGGUGAAAUCCCUCGGCUCAACCGGGGAACUGCCUUUGAAAUCUGUCUGGCUAGAGUUCGGGAGAGGGUAGGGGAAUUCCUAGUGUAGCGGUGAAAUGCGCAGAUAUCAGGAGGAACACCAGUGGCGAAGGCGCCGCUCUGGGCCCGUAACUGACGCUGAGGAGCGAAAGCAUGGGUAGCAAAACAGGAUUAGAUACCCUGGUAGUCCAUGCCGUAAACGUUGGGCCACUAGGUGUGGGUCUCAACCAACGAGAUCCGCGCCGUCGCUAACGCAUUAAGUGCCCCGCCUGGGGAGUACGGUCGCAAGA
rnacentral:rRNA from 1 species